UUAAGUUCAGCGGGUAGUCCUACCUGAUUUGAGGCCAGAUGUCAAAAUAUGUUGCCUCGUUAGAAGCGAGACCAGAGUCCAUGAUCGGCCACCCCGAAGGAUGUCCUUAGCGAAAUAACUUAUAACGCCAAGUCAAACCGGCCAUUAGCCACUAGUCAGACCGAAAUUCAUUUAAGGUGAGCCAGCUCUCGCAGGCAAAC
rnacentral:misc_RNA from 1 species